UACGUAGGGGGCAAGCGUUGUCCGGAUUUAUUGGGCGUAAAGAGCGUGUAGGCGGCCAGGUAGGUCCGUUGUGAAAACUCGAGGCUCAACCUCGAGACGCCGAUGGAAACCAUCUGGCUAGAGUCCGGAAGAGGAGAGUGGAAUUCCCGGUGUAGCGGUGAAAUGCGCAGAGAUCGGGAAGAACAUCAGUGGCGAAGGCGGCCUGCUGGGCUGUUGCUGACGCUGAGGCGCGACAGCGUGGGGAGCAAACAGG
rnacentral:rRNA from 1 species